rnacentral:rRNA from 1 species
CUGUAAACGAUGUCGAUUUGGAGGUUGUUCCCUUGAGGAGUGGCUUCCGGAGCUAACGCGUUAAAUCGACCGCCUGGGGAGUACGGCCGCAAGGUUAAAACUCAAAUGAAUUGACGGGGGCCCGCACAAGCGGUGGAGCAUGUGGUUUAAUUCGAUGCAACGCGAAGAACCUUACCUACUCUUGACAUCCAGAGAAUUUAGCAGAGAUGCUUUAGUGCCUUCGGGAACUCUGAGACAGGUGCUGCAUGGCUGUCGUCAGCUCGUGUUGUGAAAUGUUGGGUUAAGUCCCGCAACGAGCGCAACCCUUAUCCUUUGUUGCCAGCACAUUAUGGUGGGAACUCAAAGGAGACUGCCGGUGAUAAACCGGAGGAAGGUGGGGAUGACGUCAAGUCAUCAUGGCCCUUACGAGUAGGGCUACACACGUGCUACAAUGGCGUAUACAAAGAGAAGCGACCUCGCGAGAGCAAGCGGAACUCAUAAAGUACGUCGUAGUCCGGAUUGGAGUCUGCAACUCGACUCCAUGAAGUCGGAAUCGCUAGUAAUCGUAGAUCAGAAUGCUACGGUGAAUACGUUCCCGGGCCUUGUACACACCGCCCGUCACACCAUGGGAGUGGGUUGCAAAAGAAGUAGGUAGCUUAACCUUCGGGAGGGCGCUUACCACUUUGUGACUCAUGACUGGGGUGAAGUCGUAACAAGGUAACCA